CACCGCGGUUAUACGAGAGACCCAAGUUGUUAGAUGCCGGCGUAAAGGGUGGUUAAGAUAAAUUAAAGACUAAAGCCGAACGCCCUCAGAGCUGUUAUACGUUCCCGAGAGUAAGAAGUCCAACUACGAAAGUGGCUUUAUAACAUCUGAACCCACGAAAGCUAUGACA
rnacentral:rRNA from 1 species